CAGUUUGUUCUGAUCACCGUCCGUUUCUUUGGGACGGGCGCCAUCUUGUGGAGCCCCUGCAGACUUGAGUGGUGAACCCCAAAGUUGAUGAGCAGUCAGACGGAACAUGUCGGCCUGUAACAAACUCCGUCAAAGUCCGUCAGUAUCUUCAUUUAGAGGACGGACAGACGGAUGGAACCUGCAGACUGAGGCGGAGUGGGACUCACUUCAGCCCGGAGGACGGCUCACUGAUGACGGAGAGAGGAGUGAGGGGAUCCACAGGUAGGACCAGGAUGAAGGCAUGGACGCCCUCAGGAUCACAGAGGGAGAUACACCUGAGUGAUUCCUUCAUCACUUCCUCCAGAGGUUUUCCACACAAGGCAGGCAGCUCCACCAGGGAAACCCAAC